UACGAAGGGGCAAGCGUUGUUCGGAAUUAUUGGCGUAAAGGGAGCGUAGGCGGUUCGGCAAGUCUUUAGUGAAAUCUCUGGCUCAACUCAGAGUCUGCUGGAGAAACUGCCGGGCUGGAGUAUGGGAGAGGUGAGUGGAAUUCCGGUGUAGCGGUGAAAUGCGUAGAGUAUCGGGAGGAACACCUGUGGCGAAAGCGGACUCA
rnacentral:rRNA from 1 species